GUGACAGCCCCGUACACAAAAAUGCACAUAUUGUGAGCUCGAUGAGUAGGGCGGGACACGUGGUAUCCUGUCUGAAUAUGGGGGGACCAUCCUCCAAGGCUAAAUACUCCUGACUGACCGAUAGUGAACCAGUACCGUGAGGGAAAGGCGAAAAGAACCCCGGCGAGGGGAGUGAAAAAGAACCUGAAACCGUGUACGUACAAGCAGUGGGAGCCUCUUAAUGGGGUGACUGCGUACCUUUUGUAUAAUGGGUCAGCGACUUAUAUUCUGUAGCAAGGUUAACCGAAUAGGGGAGCCGAAGGGAAACCGAGUCUUAACUGGGCGUUAAGUUGCAGGGUAUAGACCCGAAACCCGGUGAUCUAGCCAUGGGCAGGUUGAAGGUUGGGUAACACUAACUGGAGGACCGAACCGACUAAUGUUGAAAAAUUAGCGGAUGACUUGUGGCUGGGGGUGAAAGGCCAAUCAAACCGGGAGAUAGCUGGUUCUCCCCGAAAGCUAUUUAGGUAGCGCCUCGUGAAUUCAUCUCCGGGGGUAGAGCACUGUUUCGGCAAGGGGGUCAUCCCGACUUACCAACCCGAUGCAAACUGCGAAUACCGGAGAAUGUUAUCACGGGAGACACACGGCGGGUGCUAACGUCCGUCGUGAAGAGGGAAACAACCCAGACCGCCAGCUAAGGUCCCAAAGUCAUGGUUAAGUGGGAAACGAUGUGGGAAGGCCCAGACAGCCAGGAUGUUGGCUUAGAAGCAGCCAUCAUUUAAAGAAAGCGUAAUAGCUCACUGGUCGAGUCGGCCUGCGCGGAAGAUGUAACGGGGCUAAACCAUGCACCGAAGCUGCGGCAGCGACACUAUGUGUUGUUGGGUAGGGGAGCGUUCUGUAAGCCUGUGAAGGUGGCCUGUGAGGGUUGCUGGAGGUAUCAGAAGUGCGAAUGCUGACAUAAGUAACGAUAAAGCGGGUGAAAAGCCCGCUCGCCGGAAGACCAAGGGUUCCUGUCCAACGUUAAUCGGGGCAGGGUGAGUCGACCCCUAAGGCGAGGCCGAAAGGCGUAGUCGAUGGGAAACAGGUUAAUAUUCCUGUACUUGGUGUUACUGCGAAGGGGGGACGGAGAAGGCUAUGUUGGCCGGGCGACGGUUGUCCCGGUUUAAGCGUGUAGGCUGGUUUUCCAGGCAAAUCCGGAAAACCAAGGCUGAGGCGUGAUGACGAGGCACUACGGUGCUGAAGCGACAAAUGCCCUGCUUCCAGGAAAAGCCUCUAAGCAUCAGGUAACAUCAAAUCGUACCCCAAACCGACACAGGUGGUCAGGUAGAGAAUACCAAGGCGCUUGAGAGAACUCGGGUGAAGGAACUAGGCAAAAUGGUGCCGUAACUUCGGGAGAAGGCACGCUGAUAUGUAGGUGAAGCGACUUGCUCGUGGAGCUGAAAUCAGUCGAAGAUACCAGCUGGCUGCAACUGUUUAUUAAAAACACAGCACUGUGCAAACACGAAAGUGGACGUAUACGGUGUGACGCCUGCCCGGUGCCGGAAGGUUAAUUGAUGGGGUUAGCGGCAACGCGAAGCUCUUGAUCGAAGCCCCGGUAAACGGCGGCCGUAACUAUAACGGUCCUAAGGUAGCGAAAUUCCUUGUCGGGUAAGUUCCGACCUGCACGAAUGGCGUAAUGAUGGCCAGGCUGUCUCCACCCGAGACUCAGUGAAAUUGAACUCGCUGUGAAGAUGCAGUGUACCCGCGGCAAGACGGAAAGACCCCGUGAACCUUUACUAUAGCUUGACACUGAACAUUGAGCCUUGAUGUGUAGGAUAGGUGGGAGGCUUUGAAGUGUGGACGCCAGUCUGCAUGGAGCCGACCUUGAAAUACCACCCUUUAAUGUUUGAUGUUCUAACGUUGGCCCGUAAUCCGGGUUGCGGACAGUGUCUGGUGGGUAGUUUGACUGGGGCGGUCUCCUCCUAAAGAGUAACGGAGGAGCACGAAGGUUGGCUAAUCCUGGUCGGACAUCAGGAGGUUAGUGCAAUGGCAUAAGCCAGCUUGACUGCGAGCGUGACGGCGCGAGCAGGUGCGAAAGCAGGUCAUAGUGAUCCGGUGGUUCUGAAUGGAAGGGCCAUCGCUCAACGGAUAAAAGGUACUCCGGGGAUAACAGGCUGAUACCGCCCAAGAGUUCAUAUCGACGGCGGUGUUUGGCACCUCGAUGUCGGCUCAUCACAUCCUGGGGCUGAAGUAGGUCCCAAGGGUAUGGCUGUUCGCCAUUUAAAGUGGUACGCGAGCUGGGUUUAGAACGUCGUGAGACAGUUCGGUCCCUAUCUGCCGUGGGCGCUGGAGAACUGAGGGGGGCUGCUCCUAGUACGAGAGGACCGGAGUGGACGCAUCACUGGUGUUCGGGUUGUCAUGCCAAUGGCACUGCCCGGUAGCUAAAUGCGGAAGAGAUAAGUGCUGAAAGCAUCUAAGCACGAAACUUGCCCCGAGAUGAGUUCUCCCUGACUCCUUGAGAGUCCUGAAGGAACGUUGAAGACGACGACGUUGAUAGGCCGGGUGUGUAAGCGCAGCGAUGCGUUGAGCUAACCGGUACUAAUGAACCGUGAGGCUUAACCUU
rnacentral:rRNA from 1 species